rnacentral:rRNA from 1 species
CCUACGGGAGGCAGCAGUGAGGAAUAUUGGUCAAUGGCCGGAAGGCUGAACCAGCCAUGCCGCGUGAAGGUCAGUGCCCUUUGGGCGUUAAACUUCUUUUGUGCGGGAGCAAUAAUGGUCACGUGUGGCCAGACGAGAGUACCGUACGACUAAGCAUCGGCUAACUCCGUGCCAGCAGCCGCGAUAAUACGGGGGAUGCAAGCGUUAUCCGGAAUUAAUGGGUUUAAAGGGUGCGUAGGCUGUGAGGUAAGUCAGCGGUGAAAUGCCCCCGGUCAACGGGGUGAAGUGCCAUUGAUACUGCCUUGCUUGAAUGCGGAUGCCGGGGGAGGAAU